AUUGAACGCUGGCGGCAGGCUUAACACAUGCAAGUCGAGCGGGGUGAUGGUGCUUGCACUAUCACUUAGCGGCGGACGGGUGAGUAAUGCUUAGGAAUCUGCCUAUUAGUGGGGGACAACAUCUCGAAAGGGACGCUAAUACCGCAUACGUCCUACGGGAGAAAGCAGGGGAUCACUUGUGACCUUGCGCUAAUGGAUGAGCCUAAGUCGGAUUAGCUAGUUGGUGGGGUAAAGGCCUACCAAGGCGACGAUCUGUAGCGGGUCUGAGAGGAUGAUCCGCCACACUGGGACUGAGAGACGGCCCAGACUCCUACGGGAGGCAGCAGUGGGGAAUAUUGGACAAUGGGGGGAACCCUGAUCCAGCCAUGCCGCGUGUGUGAAGAAGGCCUUAUGGUUGUAAAGCACUUUAAGCGAGGAGGAGGCUCUUUUGGUUAAUACCCAAGAUGAGUGGACGUUACUCGCAGAAUAAGCACCGGCUAACUCUGUGCCAGCAGCCGCGGUAA
rnacentral:rRNA from 1 species